rnacentral:rRNA from 1 species
GACAGAGGGUGCAAACGUUGUUCGGAAUUACUGGGCGUAAAGCGUGUGUAGGCGGCGACGAAAGUCGGAUGUGAAAGCCCUAGGCUCAACCUGGGAAGUGCACUCGAUACUGCGUUGCUAGAGUCUCGGAGAGGUUGGUGGAAUUCUCGGUGUAGAGGUGAAAUUCGUAGAUAUCGAGAGGAACACCGGUGGCGAAGGCGGCCAACUGGACGAAGACUGACGCUGAGACACGAAAGCGUGGGGAGCAAACAGG